rnacentral:rRNA from 1 species
ACUCAAAGGAAUUGACGGGGGCUCACACAAGCGGUGGAGGAUGUGGUUUAAUUCGAAGCAACGCGAAGAACCUUACCAGGUCUUGACAUACCGGGAUUAGCUAGCUGAAAGGUUAGUGAUUGCCCUCAAGGUGUAACCGGAACAGGUGCUGCAUGGCUGUCGUCAGCUCGUGCCGUGAGGUGUUAGGUUAAGUCCUUUAACGAGCGAAACCCCUACGUUCAGUUACCAGCGCGUCAUGGCGGGGACUCUGGACGGACUGCCGCGAAAGUAGGAGGAAGGUGGGGACGACGUCAAGUCAUCAUGGCCUUUAUGACCUGGGCUACACACGUCCUACAAUGGGUGGUACAACGGGAAGCAAAACCGCGAGGUGAAGCCAAUCCCUGAAAGCCACCCUCAGUUCAGAUUGUGGGCUGCAAUUCGCCCACAUGAAGCUGGAAUCGCUAGUAAUCGCGGAUCAGCUACGCCGCGGUGAAUAUGUUCCUGAGCCUUGUACACACCGCCCGU